UGAAAUUAGGCCACUGGUUUAUUUUAUUUAUAUUGAUCAGCACCUGACAACAUUUAUAUGAUUUAUAAUUUAUUAUCGUUUCAUGAUAUCCUCACCUGUGGGUUUGAUCCGUGGUGCUGAUAUCUGAUGGUCCCUGGAUUACAGAAAGACAAAGAAAAGUCUUUAUCAGUAGGAUUUCAGUACAGUGCUUUGUAGCUGUGGGGUACAACAUGAAUGAGAUCUUUUUGUGAAUACACACCUGCAUCAUCACGUUUAACCAAGUCCUGUCCGUCUCCCACUCUGUGGGUACAAAUCAACACAGUCAACACUGAACUGAAUCCAGCAUAAAUAACCAAACUCAUUUCCACUGAGGUCCACCUCCAUGAGAUGAGGGAGCUGAGACUCCAGAGCUGAGACCAGAGCGAUACAGCCAGAGUCUGAGAGCAGACAAGAUCUCAACCUGCAGGGAGACGACACUUUGAACACAAAAAUAC